rnacentral:rRNA from 1 species
UACAGAGGGUGCGAGCGUUGUCCGGAAUCACUGGGCGUAAAGGGCGCGUAGGUGGCGCGACAAGUCAGUGGUGAAAGCUCGGCGCUUAACGCCGAGUCGGCCACUGAUACUGUUGGGCUUGAGCACUGUAGAGGCUAAUGGAAUUCCGGGUGUAGCGGUGGAAUGCGUAGAGAUGUGGAGGAACACCGAUGGCGAAGGCAGCCUUCUGGGCCAACACUGACGCUCAUGCACGAAAGCGUGGGGAGCAAACAGG